UGGAACCGGUUCCCAGACUGCGAUCGAUGGAGCUCUAGCCCCGCGCGGGCCCAGUUGGACUCUGGCCCUCAGACCUGAUAGGUAGCAUUUUUUUCCGCGGGAAAAAUAGCCAGCCAGGAAAACAGAAGUCAUGGGCGGAGGUGACAAGAAGAAGGGAGGAGGGAAAGGGGAAAAGAAAGAGAAGGAUGCCAAGAAGGACGACAAAAAGGAGAGCAAAGGCAAAAAGAAGUAACAUCGGUCACUGGCUCCAACCGGGAGCCCGCAUCACCAUAGCGUAAUCACCAUGGAUUUCAUGAUGACUGCCUCCAAAGCCUCACCUAGCAAUACUACUUCCCCGUCCUCCAUCACUCGCCGUGUUUCCCUCCUCUUCAUCGUGCUUGUUAAUAAAGUAUUUGUCACGUGA